AGUGAACGCUGGCGGUAGGCCUAACACAUGCAAGUCGAACGGCAGCACAGGAGAGCUUGCUCUCUGGGUGGCGAGUGGCGGACGGGUGAGGAAUACAUCGGAAUCUACUCUGUCGUGGGGGAUAACGUAAGGAAACUUACGCUAAUACCGCAUACGACCUACGGGUGAAAGCAGGGGAUCUUCGGACCUUGCGCGAUUGAAUGAGCCGAUGUCGGAUUAGCUAGUUGGCGGGGUAAAGGCCCACCAAGGCGACGAUCCGUAGCUGGUCUGAGAGGAUGAUCGGCCACACUGGAACGGAGACACGGUCCAGACUCCUACGGGAGGCAGCAGUGGGGAAUAUUGGACAAUGGGCGCAAGCCUGAUCCAGCCAUACCGCGUGGGUGAAGAAGGCCUUCGGGUUGUAAAGCCCUUUUGUUGGGAAAGAAAUCCAGCUGGUUAAUACCCGGUUGGGAUGACGGUACCCAAAGAAUAAGCACCGGCUAACUUCGUGCCAGCAGCCGCCGUAA
rnacentral:rRNA from 1 species